GCUGGGUAGCUAUGUGUGGACGGGAUAAGUGCUGAAAGCAUCUAAGCAUGAAGCCCCCCUCAAGAUGAGAUUUCCCAACUUCGGUUAUAAGAUCCCUCAAAGAUGAUGAGGUUAAUAGGUUCGAGGUGGAAGCAUGGUGACAUGUGGAGCUGACGAAUACUAAUCGAUCGAAGACUUAAUCAAAUU
rnacentral:rRNA from 1 species